GAUGAGGAACGCAGCGAAAUGCGAUAAGUAAUGUGAAUUGCAGAAUUCAGUGAAUCAUCGAAUCUUUGAACGCACCUUGCACCCUUUGGCAUUCCGAAGGGUAUGCUCGUUUGAGUGUCAUUGUACUCUCACACUCUCCGAUCCUAUGGAUUCGGGGAGCGGUGGACUUGGGUGUUGCUGCCUUUCCCUGUGGCUCACCUCAAAUGCGUCAGUGCACCUCUUGGUUGGACAUAGUACGGCGUGAUAAGUGUCUUCGCCGGCACCUCGCAAGAGGGUGGCCGAUCGGGAGCUCUGCGCUUUCAAACCGUCUUCGGACAAUUUCUGACAUCUUGACCUCAAAUCGAGUAGGACUACCCGCUGAACUUAAGCAUAUCAAUAAGCGGAGGA
rnacentral:misc_RNA from 1 species